rnacentral:rRNA from 1 species
GAGCUCGAUGAGUAGGGCGGGACACGUGGUAUCCUGUCUGAAUAUGGGGGGCCCAUCCUCCAAGGCUAAAUACUCCUGACUGACCGAUAGUGAACCAGUACCGUGAGGGAAAGGCGAAAAGAACCCCGGCGAGGGGAGUGAAAAAGAACCUGAAACCGUGUACGUACAAGCAGUGGGAGCACGCUUAGGCGUGUGACUGCGUACCUUUUGUAUAAUGGGUCAGCGACUUAUAUUCUGUAGCAAGGUUAACCGAAUAGGGGAGCCGAAGGGAAACCGAGUCUUAACUGGGCGUUAAGUUGCAGGGUAUAGACCCGAAACCCGGUGAUCUAGCCAUGGGCAGGUUGAAGGUUGGGUAACACUAACUGGAGGACCGAACCGACUAAUGUUGAAAAAUUAGCGGAUGACUUGUGGCUGGGGGUGAAAGGCCAAUCAAACCGGGAGAUAGCUGGUUCUCCCCGAAAGCUAUUUAGGUAGCGCCUCGUGAAUUCAUCUCCGGGGGUAGAGCACUGUUUCGGCAAGGGGGUCAUCCCGACUUACCAACCCGAUGCAAACUGCGAAUACCGGAGAAUGUUAUCACGGGAGACACACGGCGGGUGCUAACGUCCGUCGUGAAGAGGGAAACAACCCAGACCGCCAGCUAAGGUCCCAAAGUCAUGGUUAAGUGGGAAACGAUGUGGGAAGGCCCAGACAGCCAGGAUGUUGGCUUAGAAGCAGCCAUCAUUUAAAGAAAGCGUAAUAGCUCACUGGUCGAGUCGGCCUGCGCGGAAGAUGUAACGGGGCUAAACCAUGCACCGAAGCUGCGGCAGCGACGCUUAUGCGUUGUUGGGUAGGGGAGCGUUCUGUAAGCCUGCGAAGGUGUGCUGUGAGGCAUGCUGGAGGUAUCAGAAGUGCGAAUGCUGACAUAAGUAACGAUAAAGCGGGUGAAAAGCCCGCUCGCCGGAAGACCAAGGGUUCCUGUCCAACGUUAAUCGGGGCAGGGUGAGUCGACCCCUAAGGCGAGGCCGAAAGGCGUAGUCGAUGGGAAACAGGUUAAUAUUCCUGUACUUGGUGUUACUGCGAAGGGGGGACGGAGAAGGCUAUGUUGGCCGGGCGACGGUUGUCCCGGUUUAAGCGUGUAGGCUGGUUUUCCAGGCAAAUCCGGAAAAUCAAGGCUGAGGCGUGAUGACGAGGCACUACGGUGCUGAAGCAACAAAUGCCCUGCUUCCAGGAAAAGCCUCUAAGCAUCAGGUAACAUCAAAUCGUACCCCAAACCGACACAGGUGGUCAGGUAGAGAAUACCAAGGCGCUUGAGAGAACUCGGGUGAAGGAACUAGGCAAAAUGGUGCCGUAACUUCGGGAGAAGGCACGCUGAUAUGUAGGUGAAGUCCCUUGCGGAUGGAGCUGAAAUCAGUCGAAGAUACCAGCUGGCUGCAACUGUUUAUUAAAAACACAGCACUGUGCAAACACGAAAGUGGACGUAUACGGUGUGACGCCUGCCCGGUGCCGGAAGGUUAAUUGAUGGGGUCAGCGCAAGCGAAGCUCUUGAUCGAAGCCCCGGUAAACGGCGGCCGUAACUAUAACGGUCCUAAGGUAGCGAAAUUCCUUGUCGGGUAAGUUCCGACCUGCACGAAUGGCGUAAUGAUGGCCAGGCUGUCUCCACCCGAGACUCAGUGAAAUUGAACUCGCUGUGAAGAUGCAGUGUACCCGCGGCAAGACGGAAAGACCCCGUGAACCUUUACUAUAGCUUGACACUGAACAUUGAGCCUUGAUGUGUAGGAUAGGUGGGAGGCUUUGAAGUGUGGACGCCAGUCUGCAUGGAGCCGGCCUUGAAAUACCACCCUUUAAUGUUUGAUGUUCUAACGUGGACCCGUGAUCCGGGUUGCGGACAGUGUCUGGUGGGUAGUUUGACUGGGGCGGUCUCCUCCUAAAGAGUAACGGAGGAGCACGAAGGUUGGCUAAUCCUGGUCGGACAUCAGGAGGUUAGUGCAAUGGCAUAAGCCAGCUUGACUGCGAGCGUGACGGCGCGAGCAGGUGCGAAAGCAGGUCAUAGUGAUCCGGUGGUUCUGAAUGGAAGGGCCAUCGCUCAACGGAUAAAAGGUACUCCGGGGAUAACAGGCUGAUACCGCCCAAGAGUUCAUAUCGACGGCGGUGUUUGGCACCUCGAUGUCGGCUCAUCACAUCCUGGGGCUGAAGUAGGUCCCAAGGGUAUGGCUGUUCGCCAUUUAAAGUGGUACGCGAGCUGGGUUUAGAACGUCGUGAGACAGUUCGGUCCCUAUCUGCCGUGGGCGCUGGAGAACUGAGGGGGGCUGCUCCUAGUACGAGAGGACCGGAGUGGACGCAUCACUGGUGUUCGGGUUGUCAUGCCAAUGGCACUGCCCGGUAGCUAAAUGCGGAAGAGAUAAGUGCUGAAAGCAUCUAAGCACGAAACUUGCCCCGAGAUGAG